UGAUUCAAUGUGAAUCGUAGUCCAUUUCCCAUGGAUUUCAAGGGUAUAGAAUGAAUGGUGUAGCUUUACACUAAUAGCUUAGUCUCUAUAUCUCUUUUCUUUUCCUAAUACAAUGCAUCACCAAUAUUUAUCUCUUUUUCUUCUACUAAUUACACAACAGAUACAAAGCUAUUACAAUGCUUGCUUGGAGUAGAACAAAAAGAGGGUAAAUUGUUUGAUCAACGUAUAUUAUAUUUCACGUAUGGAACAUCUAUAUAUAUACUUUCCAUGAGGCCUUGAAGAAUCUUAAGAGAUUGCAUACCCAAGGGAUUUGAUCCUUGAAAGAAAUCAUAGAUUGAUUCUUUUCAAGAAUAAGGUUAAGUUCUCGUUAAUAUUUCUUGAUUUAUGGUCUUGAUGAGUUUUCCAUUUGCUGGCCAUAUCUCUGUGGUACUUGAGUCAUAUUCGAUGGAUCUUUGAUUUUGGGCUUCAUUGACUUCUAGUGAUUGCCUUUCCCUUUGAUUUGGGAUCUUUAGAUAACUGCUUCAUCAGUCUCUAAUUUAUUUUCCUUGCCAGAUCUACGCAGUUUCUUCCCUUUUCAUCGGUGAUUCCUUUCCUUAUUAGCUCCCGUCAAUCACUGAUUGACUGUCUUUGUCGGAUCUCUACUGCUUCUUCAUUUUGCAUUGUUGAUUGUUGAUUCUUCUUCCUUUUGCAUUCCUGAUCAUUGACUCUUUUCUUUGAUCUACUUCUGACUGGUAUUGCUUCUUGAAUCCCUUUAAUGUAUUUCUUAAGACCCUACACCAAAUGUAAUAUAUUAUUUUUCAUACUUAAAACUUAUAAUUAAUUAUCUCCCUUUUUUGAUGAUGAAGAAAAUAAUAUACAAACAACAGUUGACUUCCCUGUAGUUUUUGUAGUCGACUCCCCUUCAAUGAGUGUGGCCGGUUCCCCUUCAAUGAGUGCGCAAUAUUCAAUAGACUCCCCCUAAACAAGUGAUGCAUAGUUUAGUCUUUCCUUCUGUUGACUCCUGCAAUGUGUUCCCACACUUGCAAUGUAUGCUUACUGUACCUGCAAUGUAUAAUUCUUUCUCUUUUUUUUUGACAUCAGCAAAGAGGGCAUAGGCACAAACUAAAACAAGCAAUGUAAAGAUAACAACAUGCUAGGCAAGUAUUAUAGAUGCUAAAGCUAGCAUUAUAGGCAUGCAUUAAAAUAAUCCAGCGACUGGUU
rnacentral:lncRNA from 1 species